UUAACGAUACCCGCGUAAAAAAGGUUUUGUUUGUUAUUGCUGUUAGUGAAAAACAAUACAAUGGACAAUAAUAAUUUGAGUGAUUGUGAAGAUCAUGAGACAAAGCCAGUAAGCACAAAAACUGAAGAGAACUUCAACGUUUUAUUACAAGGUGCGUAUAGUUCGUGAGAAUGUAGCAGUUGAAGAGCGAGUUUGCAAGAAUGCGUUUGUUUCUCUACAUGGUUUAACAAGACGUAGAAUAGAAACCAUACAAAAGAGUCUCCAGAUGAGUGGAACUGCACCUAUUGAUAAACGUGGCAGACAUUUGAAUAGAAAACACAAACUAAGCGUUGAAACUAAAAACAAAAUUUUAGAACACAUUAACACAAUAAAACUAAGAGAAUUUAUUUAUCUGCCGAGUUAAAUGUGAAAAAAUGUAUGAUAUGUUUAAAGAAAAAUUUCCUCAAGUUAAGGCUAGUUAUGAAACUUACCGCUCCAUAUUUUGCAGCAAGUUUAAUAUAUCCUUUGGAUAUCCCCGUAAAGAUACUUGUAGCUUCUGCGUCCAAUUAAAAGUACUUGAUUGAUGCAUGCCAAGAGGAAAAGGGCAUUAAGGAUUUGAUGUUUCAACAAAAACUACAUCUAGCGAAAGCCGAGGUAUUCUACGCGCGUAAAAAGCAGGCCAGGUUGAGGAGUCGAACAAAGGCCGACACAGAAGCAAUAUGCAUGGAUUUCGGAAGAAGUUUGCCCAUGCCGAAUUUAUCCACGAUUGAUGUAUACUACAGCCGACAGUUAUCAUUAUUUUCAUUUAUUGUACACAAACUCUCAAAUUCUGAAGUAUUCUUCUAUGCUUAUCCUGACACAGUAGGAAAAAAUGGCGCGACGAGGUCUGCUCAUUUUUAUUUGAUUAUAUUACCUUGAAUUACCUGUUUAAAGUUAGAAAUUUACAGAUAUUCAGUGAUUCGUGCUCCGGACAGAAUAAGAACUUUCCAGUGUUCAAAUUUUUACAUUACUUAGUCCAUCAGCGUUCCAAGCUUGAGUCCAUUGAAGUCACAUUUCCCAUUCGAGGUCACUCCUACAUGGAAUGUGAUAAGGAUAUGGGGAUCUUAAACGAAAAGUUUCGGGCGGAAAUACCGAAUGACUGGUGUAAACACAUAGAAACCGCUCGUUUAAAGCCCGCACCAUUUCUUGUUGAAAAAGUUGAUCGUUAUGUGAUUAGAAAUUGGACAGAUUUUCUAUCUGCAAUGUAUGUGAAAAAAUGUCCUUUCGCUACACGUCUAAUUCGGCAAUUAAAAAUUACCAAGGAACAUCCUUGCUUAGUUUUUCAUCGAGAUACUUACAAUGGUCUUUGGAACUCGUCAGUUAUUGUACCUCCAAGAAAAAAGAUAAUCACUGGUCCGCCGCUACCCGACGGUCAGUUUUACCACCCACUAGUCGCAACUUUUGAUGAUACACCUAUCCCUUUGGAAAAAUACAAGGACCUGCAGAAGUUAAAAAAAGUUUGCACCCCAGAGAGUCAGCUUUUUUAGUCUAAUUUAAAACACAAGUAGAGACAACUCCUUGGCUUGCUUUUUUCAGUUCAUCCCAUAAGAACCGAACCCAGAAGAGAAGUUUUAUUUUUUUCUAUUAUUACAACCAUUCUUUUAUAAAUACCUACAUAUAAAUAAAAUAAUACAUUAUACUUUAUGUUUGGUAAAUAAAUAACAGAGUAUAAAUAAUUAUUUAAGCAAAAUUUAAAUAUAAAUUAAUCAAUUGCCAAUGACUUAGCAGUUUGUUUCUUUCAUUGUAUAAGUAUAUACAAUGAAAGAACGUGCUAAGUCAGUGACAUAACACCUUUUUUCCCGGUAUUCGGAGUUGUUUGAAACUUUUGACACAUUGUGGUGAAGUACCAGUUUGAUAUUAUAUUACAAAAUGUCAUUGAGGACAUAGAGCAGGGUCAUAGCUUCAAUAUGAUGGCAAAUAAAUAACCAUUUUGCAAGCUGUGUAAUUAUCGUAGCGUUUCUAACCUUAACAUUCGUUUCCUGUUAAAAAAUAGAAAAAUGACUUGGCACGUUUUUCCCCUGUGGUCUUCAUUUUGUACUGUUGGUAACUCAGUUUUACAUUAAAAUUGUUCUAAAAAGAACUUAAAUGUGGGAACAGGAGCACCAAUAUCAAUUGAGUGGUCACAAAAGUCUCACUUAUUUUUCAGAAAAAAAACCAACAUUGACCAAAUGCAAAAUUGACGAACACUAACAAAACACACAGUUACGGUCUCACAAAGAAAUUAAAUAAUUAGUUCUAGAAAUAAAUGUGCUAAGCAGAGGGAAUUUUGUUUGAUGGUCGACUUGAUUAUAGAUUAAAAAACAGUUUUGAUCAUUGCUAUAUAGAUAGUAUAGAGACACUUUCUACUGAUCCAACAGAAUGCAAUA